rnacentral:rRNA from 1 species
CCUACGGGUGGCAGCAGUGAGGAAUAUUGCUCAAUGGACGCAAGUCUGAACCAGCAAUGCCGCGUGCAGGAAGACGGCUCUAUGAGUUGUAAACUGCUUUUGUACGAGGGUAAACGCAGAUACGCGUAUCUGUCUGAAAGUAUCGUACGAAUAAGGACCGGCUAACUACGGGCCAGCAGCCGCGGUAAUACGGAGGAUUCAAGCGUUAUCCGGUAUGAUUGGGUUUAAAGGGUGCGUAGGCGGUCGGAUAAGUUAGAGGUGAAAUCCCGAGGCUCAACGUGGGAAAUGCCUCUGAUACUGUUCGGCUAGAGAGUAGGUGCGGUAGGCGGAAUGUAUGGUGUAGCGGUGAAAUGCUUAGAGAUCAUACAGAACACCAAUUGCGAAGGCAGCUUACCAAGCUACUUCUGACGUUGAGGCACGAAAGCGUGGGGAGCAAACAGGAUUAGAUACCCGAGUAGUC